AAGGAUCAUUAACAGAUAGGAACAAGUUCUCCUUGGGGCUAGGCCCCGCGGGCUCCGUCCCGUUUCUUCACCCGUGUCUACCUAUCUCUGUUGCUUUGGCAGCCCGGGGAAGCCCUUGCAUUCGCGCGCAAGGAAACCUCCGGGUGGGUCGCACCCCGUCAAUAGCCCCUCGAAAUUCUGUCUUUCAGUGUCGUCCGAGUGAAGAUAUUAAUCGUUAAAACUUUCAACAACGGAUCUCUUGGUUCUGGCAUCGAUGAAGAACGCAGCGAAAUGCGAUAAGUAAUGUGAAUUGCAGAAUUCAGUGAAUCAUCGAAUCUUUGAACGCACAUUGCGCCUUUCGGAAUUCCGGAGGGCAUACCUGUUCGAGCGUCAUUGCACCCCUCAAGUUCCGGCUUGGUCUUGGGUGCUCGCCCCCUCGGGCGCACCCGAAAAUCAGUGGCGGUCCGGAGGCGACUUUAAGCGUAGUCAAUAUUUCUCCCGCUUUGAAAGUUCGUCUCGGGGCUUGCUAUCCACCCUCGAAACUUC
rnacentral:rRNA from 1 species